GAUCCUGGCUCAGAUUGAACGCUGGCGGCAGGCCUAACACAUGCAAGUCGAACGGUAACAGGAAGCAGCUUGCUGCUUCGCUGACGAGUGGCGGACGGGUGAGUAAUGUCUGGGAAACUGCCUGAUGGAGGGGGAUAACUACUGGAAACGGUAGCUAAUACCGCAUAACGUCGCAAGACCAAAGAGGGGGACCUUCGGGCCGUCUUGCCAUCGGAUGUGCCCAGAGUGGGAUUAGCUAG
rnacentral:rRNA from 1 species